rnacentral:lncRNA from 1 species
UGCUGUCAUAUUGUUACUUGACUCUUGUGAAAUUGGUUAUGUGUUACUUGUUAUGAUAUCAUCAUUUAUGUCAUCUUAGAAAGUAAUUUAUACAUAAAUUGGUUUGAGCUUGCAUUUGUGUGUGGGUAAAUUGGCUAAGUAAAACUUUUUUCGAAAACAUUAUUUUGCUAAUAUGGCCUCUCGAGUUGAAUUGGCACAAUUCAAUGGUAAGGGAGAUUAUUCCAUUUGGAAGCAAAAAAUGAAAGCUAUUUUAAUUCAACAAAAUGUUUC